UGGGCAAUCUGCCCUUCUCAUCGGAAUAAGCGUUGGAAACGACGUCUAAUGCCGAAUACGACCUCCUUUCGCAUGAUCGGAGGUGGAAAGCUCCGGCGGAGAAGGAUGAGCUCGCGGUCUAUCAGCUAGUUGGUGUGGGUAAUGGCCCAUCAAGGCGACGACGGGUAGCCGGCCUGAGAGGGUGACCGGCC
rnacentral:rRNA from 1 species